UCUCCAAGCUGAGGAGAGAGGGUGAAAGAAGUGAUUUUGGUGUGCCUGAAGAAAACAAAGCAAAAAGGAUAUUCAAAAGCUGUAGAAAGGCCUGUGGAACUGUUAAAAAGGCAUGCUCUCCACAAUCAGUCAACCCCCUCUGGCAGAAUGGAAAUAAACGGAAUAAAAUGGAAUCAAAUGGCCUUCAAUAUCUGCCCUCAAAGCUAUGAAGUAAGCAAAACCAACUUUUUUUUACUGUUGGGUUUUCAACCAGCUGUGUCAAUCUCUGUCAUGUAUUCACCAGUGUUAUCAUGCUUAUUUAGUACAUGGCUUCUAUAUCUAUUUCUGGAAGAUACAGAUAUGCCUGCAUUACAGAGCAUUCAGAUCAGAAGUCCAACACAUCUUGAGCCCAUUGGAUUCCUUAAAUAUGUGCUGACUCUCAAGAUAUGCAUGCCUAUCCAGAAAGCGCUGACUAGAACUAUCAUGCUGCACCACUGGUGCUGACUGGUGAACUGCACCAAUGCAAGGAGCACAUCUGGGAUUUCUGAAUUUUGUACAGACUUGUAGAGACUCCUACAACAACUGCACAGCAAGAAUCCUGGAUGAACAUCCAAAAUCUUCAAAUUCUAUCUCAUUACAUCUUCUAGCUGGAAAUAAAAGGUGAUUCCAUAGAAACCUAGAAAUAUGGUAGCCCUAUCUGAACACUGCAGAACACUGAUGGGAUUCUGCAGCCUGUAUACUCAUGUUAAUAGGAUUUAUAUUUCAUUAUCAAUUGCUUGCAAUUAAAAAAGAAACAGUUCAAAUUUUCAUUUUUUUAAAAAAUGUAAUAUUAAAUGGUAUUUGAUAGAUGAAUACAACACAGGUAUAAAACGUC